rnacentral:rRNA from 1 species
AGAGUUUGAUUAUGGCUCAGAUUGAACGCUGGCGGCAGGCCUAACACAUGCAAGUCGAACGGUAACAGGAAGCAGCUUGCUGCUUCGCUGACGAGUGGCGGACGGGUGAGUAAUGUCUGGGAAACUGCCUGAUGGAGGGGGAUAACUACUGGAAACGGUAGCUAAUACCGCAUAAUGUCGCAAGACCAAAGAGGGGGACCUUCGGGCCUCUUGCCAUCGGAUGUGCCCAGAUGGGAUUAGCUAGUAGGUGGGGUAACGGCUCACCUAGGCAACGAUCCCUAGCUGGUCUGAGAGGAUGACCAGCCACACUGGAACUGAGACACGGUCCAGACUCCUACGGGAGGCAGCAGUGGGGAAUAUUGCACAAUGGGCGCAAGCCUGAUGCAGCCAUGCCGCGUGUAUGAAGAAGGCCUUCGGGUUGUAAAGUACUUUCAGCGGGGAGGAAGGCGAUAAGGUUAAUAACCUCAGCAAUUGACGUUACCCGCAGAAGAAGCACCGGCUAACUCCGUGCCAGCAGCCGCGGUAAUACGGAGGGUGCAAGCGAUAAUCGGAAUUACUGGGCGUAAAGCGCACGCAGGCGGUCUGUCAAGUCGGAUGUGAAAUCCCCGGGCUCAACCUGGGAACUGCAUUCGAAACUGGCAGGCUAGAGUCUUGUAGAGGGGGGUAGAAUUCCAGGUGUAGCGGUGAAAUGCGUAGAGAUCUGGAGGAAUACCGGUGGCGAAGGCGGCCCCCUGGACAAAGACUGACGCUCAGGUGCGAAAGCGUGGGGAGCAAACAGGAUUAGAUACCCUGGUAGUC